rnacentral:rRNA from 1 species
UUACUGGGCUUAAAGAGUUCGUAGGUGGUUGAAAAAGUUGGUGGUGAAAUCCCAGAGCUUAACUCUGGAACUGCCAUCAAAACUUUUCAGCUAGAGUAUGAUAGAGGAAAGCAGAAUUUCUAGUGUAGAGGUGAAAUUCGUAGAUAUUAGAAAGAAUACCAAUUGCGAAGGCAGCUUUCUGGAUCAUUACUGACACUGAGGAACGAAAGCAUGGGUAGCGAAGAGGAUUAGAUACCCUCGUAGUCCAUGCCGUAAACGAUGUGUGUUAGACGUUGGAAAUUUAUUUUCAGUGUCGCAGCGAAAGCGAUAAACACACCGCCUGGGGAGUACGACCGCAAGGUUAAAACUCAAAUGAAUUGACGGGGACCCGCACAAGUAGUGGAGCAUGUGGUUUAAUUCGAAGAUACGCGCAGAACCUUACCAACACUUGACAUGUUCGUCGCGACUCUAAGAGAUUAGAGUUUUCGGUUCGGCCGGACGAAACACAGGUGCUGCAUGGCUGUCGUCAGCUCGUGUCGUGAGAUGUUGGGUUAAGUCCCGCAACGAGCGCAACCCUCACUUUUAGUUGCCAUCAUUAAGUUGGGCACUCUGAAAGAACUGCCAGUGAUAAGCUGGAGGAAGGUGGGGAUGACGUCAAGUCCUCAUGGCCCUUACGUGUUGGGCUACACACGUGCUACAAUGGUAUCUACAACAGGAAGCAAAACGGCGACGUUAAGCAAAUCCUUAAAAGAUACCUCAGUUCGGAUUGCACUCUGCAACUCGAGUGCAUGAAGCUGGAAUUACUAGUAAUCGUGGAUCAGCGUGCCACGGUGAAUGCGUUCCCGGGUCUUGUACACACCGCCCGUCACACCAUGGGAGUUGGUUCUACCUUAAGGCAAGGUUUAAAACCCUUGACCACGGUAUAGUCAGCGACUGGGGUGAAGUCGUA